GAUGGAUGCGGCGUGGCUAGCGUGGCGGACAACAGUUACCACAAAGCCCAUACAGCUGCUCAUACCAUUUGCAUGGCUUUUUCAAUUGAAUGGCCUUCCGCCAGAGCACGUUCUGAAAGCUUCAGUAGAAGAUAAUCGUAAAGGCAAGAAUUGAAUCGCUGAUUGUUUUUUGGGCCUCCAUACCAGUUCGGUCGAAAAGGACAGAUGAUACAUUUAUUUGUCUUUGGGGCGCUGGUGUCGGUGUGCAGCGCAGCACAGAAGCCGUGUUCUUUUCCUAACACGGAGAAGCCGGUGUGUGCCACCGAUGGCAACACAUACAUGAACAUGCAGGAGCUCGAGUGCCUGGCGAUGGAACGACGCCGCGUCGGACUGGAGGAGAUUUUCGUGCGGCACGAUGGCCGGUGUGAUGCUGUCUCCCACCUCAACAAGCGCACCAGCUAUGGCCGCUUCAGCUGGGUGAACAGGCCGUCCAGCGGAGUCAAGCCAGCGGCGUCCGCCGUUGCUCUCUUGGCGGCCCAUGUUGUAAGGGCACGCGCCCUCUGAGCUCUGCCUAUGCCAUUCUAGUCGGCAAACAUGUUGCGCCGUGCUUCCAGCUGACGUCGCGUUUCACGGCAGGCAUUUGUUCUGCAUUUGUGGUUCACCUAAAACAUGGCAAAGGAUGCGUCUUGCGGAUGUUCACCACGACAGUCCUGAGCAAGUAAGCAUUUUGCUUGAAACUUUUUGGUUUGGCUGCGACAGUGCGAAUGAUCGAUUGUUGCAAUAGACAGAGCGUCACACACGCAGGACUGCCACAAUCCUUUACACGGUGCGGUAUUCCAAUAUUGGAUGUAGCAGCUUGUUUCAAAAAUGACUCGCGAUCUAUGAUCUAGGACUGCGAUCAAGAACAAGUCAACCUCUACGGCAGGUGGUCGCCGGUGACUGAGCAAUUAUUAGUGACUUCGUGGCAAAAUAAACAAUUAUCUGAGCAAAGCUAUGACCAACUGGACGUGUGUGACCUUCCCUGUUGCUGCCUCACAUUCGAACGAGAAGGCACGGGCUACUGGCUCAGCCUGAAGGGCAGUCUAUUUUUGGAUCGCACAAAUUGCAAGAGCUGCAGAUGAUUUACAGUGAGAUAAGAGCUCCACCAGUGCUCAGUUGAUAACUACUUUAUCCUAUAUCAAUAAAGCACUGGAGUUUUGGGGAAAUUCCGGAAGAAUACAAGGA